rnacentral:sRNA from 1 species
ACUUUUAAGACCCAUGGGCCUCAAGAUGGUUAUUUCGUCUCAUAGAUUGUUGAUACCAUGCAUUGAAUUUUUUAUUGAAGUUGCGAUAUCUAUGACUCAUUUUAAAGAAAGAUACAAUACUAUUUAACAACUUAAAUACUCACCCCCCCCUCCCCC